UGCAUAGUAAAGUUCUGAGUUCACAGUUAGGAAUAAUACGCUUAAAAUUAAAUGUACAAUUAAAGCUAAAAUAGUACGUGAACAACAACUUACGUACAACGUUAAAUAAAUCAAACAAGUGAACACAAAAAUACUACAGAAGAAGGUCCAAAUAGGGCCUUUUUCGUUUGUAUGCCAGCCUUUGGCUGGUUUUAUUCCAACAGGCUGCUCUGCACCGGGUCGAUACCGAGAAAUCCUUCGACCAUUUCGGGGCCACCAAUCCCUGCUAACCACGUGUCAACAUCAACAUCAGUGACAACAGAACUGCAAACGGAAAAACUGAACAACCAAACAUAACCACAAACGGAAUCAGCCAGCCAAUCCAGCAAUUUCUAUUAAGAUUCCGGUUGUUAAAUCUGAAACUUCAGAGUUCAUCGAGAACCCAGCAUCCACGACAGACUAGCGUUGCGGGUUUAAACCUACUUCCGGAGUAUACGGGUUUUGGCUACCCGUUGAAGCCCCACAAACAGAACAAACAGAAAAUAGUACACGCAAGUAGAACUGUGACGUCACAAAUAUGUAUGUAAUUGUAAAACCCCCAAAUUUGUUUAGAAUAUAGGCCUUAAAAAUGUAUUCAAAUACUGGGUAAACUUUGUAUCGAGGAAUAGCCCUGGAAUAUUAGAAAUUUCUACCAUUCGCGAUUUGAAUAUUCGAUACUCGAAAGGAGUAACUAAAACCUUCCUCGUUAAUCGUUCCUACUCGAAAGUUUGAAGAUUGUUGGUAUUUUGAAUUUUGCUUUAAAUUUUGUCUAAAUUCCCGGAGGUGAAUACCUUCGAGGCUUAAAUAUUUUGCUUCUGGUGGGAUCCCGUGCGGCGACCUAUGGACCGAUAGUGGAAACGGCAAGCGACAGAUUUGAUAUUCCUAUCCCUUGGCUCCCUGCGCAUUGGGAACUCACGCAUCCGUCAGUUUCGAUGUUGUAUAAGCGACCCUGUGGUAUCCUAGAC